rnacentral:rRNA from 1 species
AACGAACGCUGGCGGCAUGCCUAACACAUGCAAGUCGAACGAAGCCUUCGGGCUUAGUGGCGCACGGGUGCGUAACGCGUGGGAAUCUGCCCUUGGGUUCGGAAUAACAGUUAGAAAUGACUGCUAAUACCGAAUGAUGUCUUCGGACCAAAGAUUUAUCGCCCAAGGAUGAGCCCGCGUCGGAUUAGCUAGUUGGUGAGGUAAAGGCUCACCAAGGCGACGAUCCGUAGCUGGUCAGAGAGGAUGAUCAGCCACACUGGGACUGAGACACGGCCCAGACUCCUACGGGAGGCAGCAGUGGGGAAUAUUGGACAAUGGGCGAAAGCCUGAUCCAGCAAUGCCGCGUGAGUGAUGAAGGCCUUAGGGUUGUAAAGCUCUGUGGAGAGGGACGAAUAAGUGUCGUCGAAUAGACGGCAUGAUGACGGUACCUUUUUAGCAAGCACCGGCUAACUCUGUGCCAGCAGCCGCGGUAAU